CCUACGGGUGGCAGCAGUGGGGAAUAUUGGGCAAUGGGCGCAAGCCUGACCCAGCAACGCCGCGUGAAGGAAGAAGGCUUUCGGGUUGUAAACUUCUUUUCUCAGGGACGAAGAAAGUGACGGUACCUGAGGGAUAAGCCACGGCUAACUACGUGCCAGCAGCCGCGGGAAUACGUAGGUGGCAAGCGUGAUCCGGAUUUAUUGGGUGUAAAGGGCGUGUAGGCGGGAGCGCAAGUCAGAUGUGAAAACUCAGGGAUCAACCCUGAGCCUGCCUUUGACACUGGGUUUCUUGAGUGCUGGAGAGGCAAUCGGAAUGCCGGGUGUAGCGGUGAAAUGCGUAGAUAUACGGAGGAACACCAGUGGCGAAGGCGGAUUGCUGGACAGUAACUGACGCUGAGGCGCGAAAGCGUGGGGAGCAAACAGGAUUAGAUACCCCUGUAGUC
rnacentral:rRNA from 1 species